ensembl:snRNA U6 U6 spliceosomal RNA
GUGCUCACUUCAGCAGCACUUAUACUAAAAUUAGGACAAUGCAGAGAAUAUUAGCAUGGCUCUUGCACAAGGAUGACAUGCAAAUUCAUGAUGCAUUCCGGAUUUUU